UUGAACGUCUGUCAAAACACAAAGUUCGCGAACAACCAAACAUUCAGCACAGUUCGUGGAGGAGGAAAAAAACCUUGUGCGCUCCGUAUCCUUGUUCCGGUGGGACCUUUGCGUUCCGUUCCGACCGUGGAUCCGCGCGGAAUUUGCGACGAGUGAAGAUCCCUUUUGGGGUCAAGGUUGACUUGGCAAGAUUGUCCGUAUUUUGGUCGGAGUGUCUCGCGUAGACCGGAAUUGGACUGUCGGCAGGACAGCGAUGGCAAAAGGGGGUGCCGCAGGCGGAAUGGGUGCCGGCGCUGAAGGACAACGAGCAGGCUGAGGUGCUGUACAAUCUGUUUCAACGGCCCGUAAUCAAGUGCGA